rnacentral:misc_RNA from 1 species
GAGAAGAACGUAGCGAAAUGCGAUAAGUAAUGUGAAUUGCAGAAUUCAGUGAAUCAUCGAAUCUUUGAACGCACAUUGCGCCCCCUGGUAUUCCGGGGGGCAUGCCUGUCCGAGCGUCAUUACAACCCUCAAGCUCUGCUUGGUGUUGGGCCCCGCCGCCCCGGCGGGCCCUAAAGUCAGUGGCGGUGCCAUCCGGCUCCGAGCGUAGUAAUUCUUCUCGCUCUGGAGGUCCGGUUGUGUGCUUGCCAUCAACCCCCAAUUUUUUUCAGGUUGACCUCGGAUCAGGUAGGGAUACCCGCUGAACUUAAGCAUAUCAAUAAGCGGAGGA